rnacentral:rRNA from 1 species
UACGGGGGGGGUAAGCGUUGUUCGGAAUUACUGGGCGUAAAGGGCUCGUAGGCGGCCAACUAAGUCAGACGUGAAAUCCCUCAGCUUAACUGGGGAACUGCGUCUGAUACUGGAUGGCUUGGAUUCGGGAGAGGAAUGCGGAAUUCCAGGUGUAGCGGUGAAAUGCGUAGAUAUCUGGAGGAACACCGGUGGCGAAGGCGGGUCUCUGGGCCGAUAUUGACGCUGAGGAGCGAAAGCGUGGGGAGCGAACAGG